rnacentral:rRNA from 1 species
GACGAACCGAGCGAACGUUGUUCGGAAUCACUGGGCUUAAAGGGCGCGUAGGCGGGUUUGCAAGUCCGGGGUGAAAUCCCACAGCUCAACUGUGGAACUGCCUCGGAUACUGUGAGUCUCGAGGGUGGCAGGGGUAUGCGGAACUAUCGGUGGAGCGGUGGAAAAUGCGUUGAUAUCGAUAGGAACUCCGGUGGCGAAGGCGGCAUACUGGUCCACUUCUGACGCUGAGGCGCGAAAGCCAGGGGAGCAAACGGG